UACGGGGGGGGCAAGCGUUGUUCGGAAUUACUGGGCGUAAAGGGCCAGUAGGCGGCCAACUAAGUCGGAUGUGAAAUCCCCAGGCUCAACUUGGGAACUGCAUCCGAUACUGGAUGGCUUGAAUUCGGGAGAGGGAUGCAGAAUUCCAGGUGUAGCGGUGAAAUGCGCAGAUAUCAGGAGGAACACCGGUGGCGAAGGCGGGUCUCUGGGCCGAUACUGACGCUGAGGAGCGAAAGCGUGGGGGAGCGAACAGG
rnacentral:rRNA from 1 species